GACGAACGCUGGCGGCGUGCCUAAUACAUGCAAGUCGAACGCCGUGGGGACGGGUGAGUAACACGUGGGUAACCUCCCAUCAGAGGGGAUAACACUUUGAACCAGGUGCUAAACCGAUACUCAUGGAUGGACCCGCGGUGCAUUAGCGAGUGGGUGAGGUAACGGCGCACCAAGUCCACGAUGCAGAGACGACCCGGUGGGGUGAUCGGUCACACGGUGACGUAACGUCGGCCCAUACUCCUACUGCAGGCAGCAUUAGGAAAUCUUCGGCAAUUGACGAAAGUCUGACCGAGCAACGCCGCUGGAGUGAAGAAGGUGUUCGGAUCGUAAAACUCUGUUGUUAGAGAAGCGGGAUCUAACCAGAAAGCCACUGCUAACUACGUGCCAGCAGCCGCGGUAAUAG
rnacentral:rRNA from 1 species